CCUACGGGUGGCAGCAGUCGAGAAUCAUUCACAAUGGGGGAAACCCUGAUGGUGCGACGCCGCGUGGGGGAAUGAAGGUCUUCGGAUUGUAAACCCCUGUCAUGUGGGAGCAAAUUAAAAAGAUAGUACCACAAGAGGAAGAGACGGAUAACUCUGUGCCAGCAGCCGCGGGAAUACAGAGGGCUCAAGCGUUGUUCGGAAUCACUGGGCGUAAAGCGUGCGUAGGCUGUGUCGUAAGUCGUGUGUGAAAGGCGCGGGCUCAACCCGCGGACGGCACAUGAUACUGCGAGCCUAGAGUAAUGGAAGGGGAACCGGAAUGCUCGGUGUAGCAGUGAAAUGCGUAGAUAUCGAGAGGAACACUCGUGGCGAAGGCGGGUUCCUGGACAUUAACUGACGCUGAGGCACGAAGGCCAGGGGAGCGAAAGGGAUUAGAUACCCUUGUAGUC
rnacentral:rRNA from 1 species